rnacentral:rRNA from 1 species
UUGACCUCAAAUCGGGUGAGACUACCCGCUGAACUUAAGCAUAUCAAUAAGCGGAGGAAAAGAAACUAACAAGGAUUCCCCUAGUAACUGCGAGUGAAGCGGGAAAAGCUCAAAUUUAAAAUCUGGCGGUCUUUGGCCGUCCGAGUUGUAAUUUAGAGAAGCGUCUUCCGCGCCGGACCGUGCACAAGUCUCCUGGAAUGGAGCGUCAUAGAGGGUGAGAAUCCCGUCUUUGGCACGGAUGCCCGGUGCUUCUGUGAUGCGCUCUCGAAGAGUCGAGUUGUUUGGGAAUGCAGCUCAAAAUGGGUGGUGAACUCCAUCU